UACGGGGGGGGCAAGCGUUGUUCGGAAUUACUGGGCGUAAAGGGCUCGUAGGCGGCCAACUAAGUCAUACGUGAAAUCCCUCGGCUUAACCGGGGAACUGCGUCUGAUACUGGAUGGCUUGAGAUUGGGAGAGGGAUGCGGAAUUCCAGGUGUAGCGGUGAAAUGCGUAGAUAUCGUUUGGAACGCCAAUGGUGAAAACAGGUUGCUGGGAGUGCGCUGACGCUGAGACACGAAAGCCAGGGGAGCGAACGGG
rnacentral:rRNA from 1 species